CAUGUAGGCGGAUUAAUAAGUUUGAAGUGAAAUCCUAUAGCUUAACUAUAGAACUGCUUUGAAAACUGUUAAUCUAGAAUGUGGGAGAGGUAGAUGGAAUUUCUGGUGUAGGGGUAAAAUCCGUAGAGAUCAGAAGGAAUACCGAUUGCGAAGGCGAUCUACUGGAACAUUAUUGACGCUGAGAUGCGAAAGCGUGGGGACAAACA
rnacentral:rRNA from 1 species